CUGCAAUACCUCACUCAAUCUCUGUCUUUCUUGAAGAAGUCAUAAAUAAACACGAUGAAUCUAUGUAGAAGCGGAAUCUCACCAGUGACACGCGUUUGUGAAAAGCUGUGAAUAUUCAGUGCCACAGGGUUAAACCUCGGUACAGAAGCGAGACCCUGCUGGGCAGAGAAAGGGUGACCUGGAAGGUGUGUGAGGGCCCCGCCCAUGGGCCCCUGUGAUGGUCAUGGCCUCAAGAAUCACAGUCCAGGUGAGGCCCUGAAUAUCCACAGCCAGGACCAGUUCCCUCUGCUCUUGGGUGCCAAGGCCACCGUCAGCCAGGAGAGGCCUGCAGAAUCAGCCUGUGCACCUCUCUGACGAUAAGCAGAGAUGCUGGUUUAGAGACUUGCUACUCACGGGGAAGUCCUUGGGCCUCCUGUACUCACAUUACCUGGAACUUCUUGGAAAUUCAGAAUCUCAGGCCCCAACCCAGACGGACUGAAUCAAAAUCUUCAUUGUGGUAAGACCCUCGGUGACACACAGGCCUGGGAAGCACAGGUUAGCGUGUCACCUUGGGCAAAGCUCUCAGCAUUGUGAGCCUCUGUUUUCUACUCUGUAAAGGAGGCAUGAAUAUCUACAACAUCAGUUUGCCAUGAGUAUUGAAAAAUAAUGUCUUAGAAGCACAGGGCAGAGCCUGGCAUGUAGUUUGUGCUCAGUGCACAGCAGACAAGAAACCACAUGCACCAGACCUGGGCGGCCGUCGGCAGCCCACCCUGAGCAACCAUGGGUGGCCCUCUUGUCUCUCGGGACAAGAAAUGCUUCUUUAGAAAUGCUUCUUUCCUUUCUAAAAUGAAAGUUUUGGACAGUAUUUCCUUUCAUUUAAAAAUUUCAUCUGUGUAUUUGAUGGCCUCUGUUGUU
rnacentral:lncRNA from 10 species